GUUUCUCUCAAAUGAGAAAGCAUCUUCUAUUGUCCGAACUAUUCCAUUGAAUCGCCACAAAAACAUAUUCUUGUGUACAAUUGAUGUUGGUUUGCAAAUGAAGACAUGGAGCCCUGGAAUUUGCUGAUGUUUGCACAGAUCCCAUUGCAGCUCAACACUGACAAACCAAAUUUACAGCUG